GGCUUAACACAUGCAAGUCGAGGGGCAGCACAGGGAGCAAUCCUGGGUGGCGACCGGCGGAAGGGUGCGUAACGCGUGAGCAACUUGCCCGUAUCUGGGAGAUAACCGAUGGAAACGUCGACUAAUAUCCCAUAACACAAUUUGUGGCAUCGCAGAUUGUUAAAAGAGAAUCGGAUACGGAUAGGCUCGCGUGACAUUAGCUAGUUGGAGUGGUAACGGCACACCAAGGCGACGAUGUCUAGGGGUUCUGAGAGGAAGGUCCCCCACACUGGAACUGAGACACGGUCCACACUCCUACGGGAGGCAGCAGUGAGGAAUAUUGGACAAUGGAUGGAAAUCUGAUCCAGCCAUGCCGCGUGCAGGAAGACGGCCUUAUGGGUUGUAAACUGCUUUUAUACGGGAGCAAUAAGGGUUACGAGUAAUCCGAUGAGAGUACUGUAUGAAUAAGGAUCGGCUAACUCCGUGCCAGCAGCCGCGGUAAUACGGAGGAUCCGAGCGUUAUCCGGAAUUAUUGGGUUUAAAGGGUGCGUAGGCGGCCAUUUAAGUCAGCGGUGAAAUUUUGCAGCUUAACUGUAACAGUGCCGUUGAUACUGUUUGGCUAGGAUUUGGUUGUAGUGUGCGGAAUGUGUGGUGUAGCGGUGAAAUGCUUAGAUAUCACACAGAACACCGAUUGCGAAGGCAGCACACUAAGUCAUUAUUGACGCUGAGGCACGAAAGUGUGGGGAUCAAACAGGAUUAGAUACCCUGGUAGUCCACACUGUAAACGAUGAUAACUCGCUGUCGGCGAUACACAGUCGGUGGCCAAGCGAAAGCAUUAAGUUAUCCACCUGGGGAGUACGACCGCAAGGUUGAAACUCAAAGGAAUUGACGGGGGCCCGCACAAGCAGUGGAGUAUGUGGAUUAAUUCGAAGCAACGCGAAGAACCUUACCUAAGCUUGACAUCCUUUUGACCGAUGCCUAAUCGCAUCUUUCCCUUCGGGGACAGAAGUGACAGGUGGUGCAUGGUUGUCGUCAGCUCGUGUCGUGAGAUGUUGGGUUAAGUCCCGCAACGAGCGCAACCCUUGCUAUUAGUUGCUAACAUUGAGUUGAGCACUCUAAUGGGACUGCCCGUGACAAGCGGGAGGAAGGUGGGGAUGGCGUCAAAUCAUCAUGCCCUUUAUGAUCUGGGCUACACACGUGCUACAAUGGAUGGUACAGAGAGCAGCGAGACAGUGAUGUGGAGCGAAUCUCAAAAAGCCAUUCUCAGUUCGGACUGCAGGCUGCAACUCGCCUGCAUGAAGUCGGAAUCGCUAGUAAUCGCGGAUCAGCAUGUCGCGGUGAAUGCGUUCCCGGGCCUUGCACUCACCGCCCGUCAAG
rnacentral:rRNA from 1 species